UCAUUGCACACACAUUUUGCGAAUGCCAACCCCUUUGCGAACUUUACCACUGUCCCCAACCCCUGGCUCCGGCCAGCCCAAGUCUCCGACCAAACACGGCGAGGAUGCAUCUCCCUUGCCGUGUUUGGUUGGCUGAAAUCGAAACACGGCGAGAGGACGCAUCCUCGCCGUGUUUUUGGUUUUGGCCUAGGGGACUUGGUGUUUUGGGUUCCAACCAAUCAUUGGAUGGCGCAAUGCAUCACUUUCAAUCAUAUGACUGAGUGUACCACGAGGAGAACCACCCACCCCGGGAGUUCUUCGAGUUGUGGAGUGAUAAACUGAAACAACUCUCAGCAACGGAUAUCUUGGCUCCUGCAACGAUGAAGAACGCAGCGAAAUGCGAUACGUAGUGUGAAUUGCAGAAUUCCGCGAAUCAUCGAGUCUUUGAACGCAAGUUGCGCCCGAGGCUUGCCCUGGGGCAUUUUUGUCAGAGCGUCACCGCGACACCCACCGCCCCCCACCCACUCCGUGAGCGUGGGGGUCGAGUGAAAUUGGCCGUCCCAGCGCGCCGCCGCCAGCGGCGGCGGCUGGGUUGGCUGAAAUGGAGUUGGACUUGGGCCCCGCCGCGGCGACACAGCCCGCGAUCAGGUGAUCCCCCGACACAAAGGGGGAGAGUGCGAAAUUGGUUGGCUGUGUUGCCUUGGGUGCCGAAGCAGAAGAGCAGGCAGGCCCCUUUCUGGAAGGA
rnacentral:rRNA from 1 species